AUGUAAGUGGAAGGGAAGCUAUAUACAUUAUAUGUUUAAAUGAAAUUAACAACAGGAUUAGAUAUUGAGGAGAUCCUAUAGCUACAGUAUAUAUAAAUGUAACUGCAACUGUAUUCCAAGAGUCUGAUGGCUGAUAAUGUAUUACAGGAUUUUAUCAUUCAAGCAAUAUCUUAGAAGGAUAUGUGCAACUGUAUGAAGGAAGCCUUGGGUACAAAUAGCAACUACAGCAAUUACAUGCAGGAGAGAACUCUUAAACAUUACUAACAGACAUGUAGUCAUUAUAUGGGAGGGGUGUAUUCAAGAAAUCUAAAACACAUGGAAUUAAAUAUUGUGUAUAUUUUUUCAACCACAAGUACUCUCAGAAUAUAAUACAAUUCAAAUUCAAAUUAUUGUGCCAACAUGACAA